rnacentral:tRNA from 1 species
GGUUUAAUAGUCAAAUUUAUGAUUUUAAGUUGCAAUCUUAAAGGUAAGUAAUUUUUUAAACUU